CCAGAAGCACUGUGGGUUCCCUCUCAAGUAAUGCAGCUGCGUAGUGUGAACACCGUGUUCCAGGCUUUCCGAUCCGCUUGUCCCCACCUCCGAAAGUCAGCUUUGCCUGCUGCCUGCCUUCACCUCUCCAAACACCACAUCUCACGCCUCGUCCCGCCCGUGUGUUGAGUCUGUUUCCUGAGAGCAAAAGGUUAAAGGGUGACUUUUUGUUUUUGAGGUCAUUAUCCCACACCUAGGAACAUCUUUUUAUUUUUAAACCCCACCCCACUUAAAGAAGAGGAAGGACCCUAGGAAUGAGUAAUAAUGAUUUUCUCAGUAUUUGUCUGGUCCUAGGGCAGGAAUGUACACUUCCACUUCGGAAGUAGAUGGAUGGGUUACUGGUGGUUGUCGCUCUCACUCAUUCAGUCCAUAAACCUAAUUUGUUUUAUUUAUGAUGGGAGAAGGGGAAUAUAUGAAUUCAUUUUACUAAGCAGUUCUUGAGUUUUUGUAGUGCGCUAUUAUGACAGAUACAUUCUUGGUUUGAGCAAAGAUGAGGAAGUACAGAAUCCCUGAGAUUAUGAAGCACUUUUCAGCAGAUAUAAUCUGUUGUGGGAUAUAUAUUUGUUGUAGGAUAUUUAAAUGUUCUCCAAAUGUCUUCAGUACUUCUUGUGAAUAGUAACUGGUUUUAAUUACAGGCUGGAUUUCUCUUUCCCCUUUUGAGAAAUAAUAGUCCUCCCUCCUCCCCUGUUCCCCUUUUGGGAAAAGUCAGUAAUCUGGGUAAUUUCUAUUAAAAAACCUCUAUUAAAACCAAGGAGUGAUUGUAGUCCACUUAAUGAAGCAAAGCACAAAAGAUGAUGAGGACAGGAGCGGUAGAGAGUUAGUUCACUCAUGAAGCCACUUACUUUUAAAGGUAAGGAAAAAUAAAGAAGCCCCCUUCUCUUUCUUCCAACCUGGUUGUUAUCUGGAAUUUUCAGUUAAGUAAAAUGGUUAACCACUUACAUGUGCUUCAAACUAAACACAAAACCCCAAAGACUAUUUAAUUAUCACACUUUUGUUAAUAAGAUUAUGGGACUUGCAUAGGAAAGAUACUGUGCAAAAUAGAAUCCUUUCCUGUGUUAGUGAGAAUAUUGGUUUGUGUUCUUUUUAAUUAUUGGGUCUAAUAUUUCUGCUUUUUAGUCAACGAAGGGUGAAAGCAAGAAAAUGACCAUUACUUCAUCUUGCUGGAAAGGUCUUGCCUAAUCCAAAUUGUUUGUUACAUCGUGUAGGGCUUUGUUCUUAAAACCUCUUAAAAAGAUGGAUGUAAUAUCUUCUUUCUCAAGAUAGUUUCGAUAAAAUCUCAGCAGUUUACUAAAAUUUUAUGAGACGUCUUUAG